UACAGAGGUCUCAAGCGUUGUUCGGAUUCAUUGGGCGUAAAGGGUGCGUAGGUGGUGUCGUAAGUCAGGUGUGAAAUCUCGGGGCUCAACCCCGAAACUGCACUUGAUACUGCGAUGCUCGAGUACUGGAGAGGAGAUUGGAAUUUACGGUGUAGCAGUGAAAUGCGUAGAUAUCGUAAGGAAGACCAGUGGCGAAGGCGAAUCUCUGGACAGUUACUGACACUGAGGCACGAAGGCCAGGGGAGCAAACGGG
rnacentral:rRNA from 1 species